CAACAGGUAAUUCAUGAGUUGGAGCCCAGGAGCAUCCACAGCUAGGAGGAGGUGGUGACUGUGUUCGACUUCCAUGCUCCUGAAUCAGAGACAUAACCAGUUUGGGCAGAUGUUCACCAAGUUCAUUUCAGUGUGGGGAAGGAAACGCUGCCAUGUUGCAGUUGCACUCGUGGUUUUAACUUGUUUUAAAUGAUUUUUUAAAUGUGUAUAAUGCGUUAUUUUUAGUACAAACAAACGCCGUAUGCACCAAGGUUCAGUGGACAGCAAGUUUUAUGCUUUUCUUAAUCUGAACAAAAAAACAAACCCCAGGCUAUCUUGUAGUGCGAGCUGUUUUUUUUUUUGUUCUUCCAAAAAACUUGGACUGAAUUUAUUCCCAGGGAGCCUUCCACCUCAACCCGUGCCAAGCCCAGAGGACAUUUUAUUCGCUCGCCCUUCACGAAUGAAACAUUGCCCUCCCACGUGCUGCCAGGACUUCUUUUCUUGCGCCAUGAAAAUGCUUUAUCUCCUCUGCUUGUCCACGACGGCCCCGUAUGGAUCCACCAAGCGAGGGGGCGCCGCCUACAGCCAGCGGAGGCGUGGCCGGAAGAACGAGAAGAAGAGUGCCCCCGAGGAGCGACGCCUCUACCUGGAGCCCGACUACGUGCGGGCAUGCAUCACCGAGUCGGAGCUCCGUCCGCUCAUCACCCUGCCACCCUCCAUCGAGCUCAACGAGUGGCUCGCCACGCAUGUUACAACAUUCUUUGGACACGUGAACCUGCAGUACAGCGCCAUCUCGGAAUUCUGCACAGCGGAAACCUGCCCGCUCAUGACGGCCUGCAACGUACAAUACUUCUGGCAGGAUGAGAGGGGGAAGAAGGUGAAGUGCACGGGUCCACAGUACGUCGACUACGUCAUGUCGUGCAUCCAGACGACGAUCACCGAUGAAUCUGUUUUCCCGACAAAAUACGGCCGGGACUUCCCGAACUCGUUCGAAGCGGUGGUGCGCAAGUUCUUCCGGCUGCUGUACCAUGUGAUUGCGCACAUCUACUGGUGUCACUUCCGCGAGACGGUGUGCCUGGACCUCCACGGCCACCUCAACUCCGUGUUCAGCCACUUUGUGUGCUUCGCGCGCGAGUUCAACCUCCUGGAGCCCAAGGAGGCCGCGGGGCUUGACGACCUGGUGGAAGCCCUGUGCAACGCGCGCAUCGCUCGCAACCACGGCAAGGAGAGAUGAUGGGAGCACAAAAACCGCAAUCGCGAAGUCGAGACGGACGGCCGGGAAAUUUCCGUCGUGCGUUUAUCUGUUCAAGUGUGAGCGCUGGCCAGGCAACUCCUGUAAGAUGACCUGCUUCUACUGACUUGCUUCUCCCAGAACCUGCGAGUGACUGCCCCCCAAAUCCUUCUCGCAUCACCAUCUCUCGGUUGUGAAGCCUUAACCGGACGCAGCUUAAAGGUCACGCUCGUUAUACCUGCAAAACUUAUUCAUCAUCCUAAUAAUCAUCAUCGUAUUUGAUGAACCUGGGCAUUUCUGGUUGCAGGUGAAAUCUUGAACUAAUAUUGAUGGGCAGCGAAUGGAAUGCUCCUCCCAGAGGUCAACAAAUAUCCGUUUUGCUUUCUGCAUUCACAAUGCAAAGUAGGAUUUCAAUUGAUCGUUUCAUUUAUGUAACUUCUUGUUUUGUCAUGCAAAAAAGCUGCAGUAAAAAGCACAAAAUAGACCACCCUUCAGCAACGGAAAAAUUAUUGGUCCCACACUUUUUCUCAAGCGCCGCGCAAUUGUAUUCGCCGCUUGUUGCCGCUUGCCACGGUUCCACAGGGAGCGUGUGUGGGGAGAGUGAAUCACGAGCCGGGUGGCAAGGGGAGAGGUUUGCAGGAAGCACCCGAUGACCUCCUGGAACUGGCAGAUAGCUCCUCGUUGAGUUCCACUCUCACGACCGCUUCAACAACAGCACCUCUCGCCACUGCAGAAACAACUACUGUCGUGGACAGCGGGCCACAGCUGCCCAGUGUGCAGGCGGUGCAACUGCACGGAGACCCACGGGCUGGCAGGGCCCCCAGGCACCGGGCUACGAAUGGUGGGAUAAGGAAGAAUUAGACCCCCAUUUCUUUCCAUGCACACCUGAGCCCAUGCCAGCCGUGUUAUGCCACUGACAUUACGUAGAACUGUAGCUUGGCAGUGGUGGGUUCACAGUCGCAUUAUCAUUUAUUUAACCAAUGUGACACUUGCAGUGUACUGCAGAUACGUCGAGGCAUGCUGGAUCCAAUAUUAACGUCACUUCUGGAAAUAUUAAUGAAACGGCAUUUCUAAAUGGCAAGUAGUAACGGCAAUGCCAAUUAUUUACGUAGGAAAGCCUUGCUGACCUGAAGACCCUCUCUUUGGGGGAGGGUUCCCUGCAGUGGGAGAUGUUUGACCGAUGAUUCCAUGAGAAGAGUGUUUGGGACGUUGGAGGGGACACGGGAGCCCGGAGAAACCCACCGCGUCUACGGCCGGUUAGCACUCGAUAGGCCGUCUCCUUCAGUGGUUGAGAGGAGCGUCGCCCUUUGUAAGUUGUUUCUAUAACAAGCAAAACAAAACUCGCUCCUAAACGAAUGAAUGUCGUGCGAUUAUGCUGUACUUGCAAUCAUGCUCUUGUGUGCAUUUUUGAAAAUGUGCAAGCACUUUACUGAGGUUCGAACCAAAGCCAUUGUUACUGCGUAAUAAGACACCGAGCCGGUUGGGUUAAGUUAUGCAUUGUUUUAUACCAAGGAAACACACUGCUUGGGAUUGUGGCAUCACCGAGACUGCGAAGUUUAAGCUUGAACUUGUCCAGAACCUUUUUCUUGCCUGAAAUGUGAGCAGUAUGAAUUCCAACUGCAGUUCUACUUGGUCUCAAGAUUUAAUUUGCAAGUAGGUCUUCCGGCAUUUGUAUAUAUAUUUUUAAGGUAUUUAAAACACGUACUGUUGCUUUUUUUGUUCAAUUUUAAUUCUGUUCGGUGUUUUAAAGUUAGCUUAUUUUCCAUUUUAUCCGCAAAUUCGACAUAUCUCUUAUCGUCGUUGUUAAUUUGCACUGCCUUUCUUACACCUUCUCAAACUAUAGCAAUUUUAAUUACUGUAAAUGGACUCGCUUUACGAAAUGGUAAUGGUUAUAUUUUUAAACGAAAACUACUGCUGUGAGUGGUUUAUUGUACAAUAAAGUUACAUAUAAAGCACAACAUACGAGUGUUUUGUUGUAAUUUUCCUGCAUAGCUGUGAAAAUGUAAAAUUAUGGAAUUACGGCACACCAAAUUUCAGUGAGCAUGGGUCUUAAAUUACAUAUCAAUAAAUCCUAUCCCGCAAAGGAUUUGUCUUGUAUAUAACAGACCGACAUAUGCACAAAUGCAUAUGCAUUGACAUUUGGAGAUUUUUUUUUUUAAGUCAAGAGCCUUUUGCAUUUUAAAUUCUUGAUAUAUAUUUUAUUAUUUGAGCAAAACACAAUGCAAAUUGACUUUCGCUUAUACUGCAACAGUUUGCAUUCGGUAUUUGUAAUGUUGAUGAAAACAUAAUAUAUGUAGACACCGUUAAACGUAUUGGCAUGGCUGAAAUAAUCAACAUCACAACUGGGGUAUUCAUUGCAUUGAUCUCUACAUUUAUGGAGUGAUUUAAACCAUCUGGCAUGCAGAUGCGAGGUGGAUUACUACAUCGCAGGAUCGUGAGAUGGCGACGGAGGUUUUUGGAGAAGGCCUUCAUCCAGCAGUGGAUUGAUCAUGGCUGAUGGCGAUGUCCACAAAAAUUGUUCCUUGUCUGUCUCUUCAGGGAUCGCCGUUGUCAAAUCCACCCACACAGUUCGACGACUUCUGCAUUGCGCGCUCGUUUAUUCGUUCAAUUUGCCGUAUGCCGGGAUUUUAAUCUUGCCACCUUUACAAAGGCUUCGGAUUCAGCUUCUCAUCGCUCCGAGCCACUUGGGUGCUCACACAAACACAGGGGUGCCACGUGUUACAGAACGCUGUCGUUGCGCGCACGUGGUCGUGUAAACGUACGCGGUGGCGUCAUCGCGUACGUUCGACGUCAUCGCGUUCAGUGGGCGUCAUAAUUGCGUGACGUCAUCAUGCAUUAUAAACCAUUUUCAAAAAGCGAAUUGCGGGAUUCAUACCUCGGUGGCGUGUUUUCAGAAACAACCAAGCUACCUCACGCAUACAAUAAUUCAAGAA